GGAGUUAAGAAAUGUAGGUGCGAUAAUACCGUGCCUAUUUGACAAAGGCUCCAAAGGAAGCCACGGCUAACUCUGUGCCAGCAGCCGCGGUAAUACAGAGGUGGCAAGCGUUGUUCGGAAUUAUUGGGCGUAAAGAGCACGUAGGUGGAUUUGUUAGUCAGAUGUGAAAGCCUUUCGUUCAACGGAAGAAUUGCAUCUGAAACUACAAACCUUGAGUAUAGAAGGGGAGAGUGGAACUUCUG
rnacentral:rRNA from 1 species